GAUGAACGCUGGCGGCGUGCCUAAUACAUGCAAGUCGAACGAAUCUUCUUCGGAAGAUGAGUGGCGAACGGGUGAGUAAUACAUAGGUAACCUGCCCCUGUGCGGGGGAUAACAGGAGGAAACUCCUGCUAAUACCGCAUAGCCAUGAGCACCGCAUGGAGCUCAUGCCAAAUAUCCUUUAUGGGAUAGCGCAGGGAUGGACCUAUGGCGCAUUAGCUGGUUGGCGGGGCAACGGCCCACCAAGGCAACGAUGCGUAGCCGGCCUGAGAGGGCGGACGGCCACAUUGGGACUGAGACACGGCCCAGACUCCUACGGGAGGCAGCAGUAGGGAAUUUUCGGCAAUGGGGGAAACCCCGACCGAGCAACGCCGCGUGAGCGAAGAAGGCCUUCGGGUCGUAAAGCUCUGUUGUAAAGGAAGAACGGCGCAUACAGGAAAUGGUAUGCGAGUGACGGUACUUUACCAGAAAGCCACGGCUAACUACGUGCCAGCAGCCGCCGUAA
rnacentral:rRNA from 1 species